GGAAACAAUAUUUACAAUGGACCACACAUAUCCGAGGUUUGAUCCAGAAGAACGUCUGCCAAAAAUUGUGAGAGACAGUAUUGAGCACUCAUAUGUGAAGUCACCAUCAAAGCUCAAACAAACGCCAACAAAAUCCAAACGGAAACGAGAGAGCAGCACACCAACAGGCAAAACUCCAGUUCAGGUGUCUAAACGCACAUCAUUGUGUGAGGACCGUGUGGCCAGACAUUGCCCUUGGUCGAUCCAAGAAAAGGAGUUCCUUCACCAGUAUGUAAGAUGUAAUGAGCAACAUGGUACAGAUACUAUGUACUGGACAAAAUGUGCCGAGGCAAUGAAUGUCAAAUUUCCUGUGAAUCUAAGGACAGGCCGUUCCUGCAAAAAUGCAUUUAAGAGACUGGACAUCACUGAACAGAUCCCUUCCUCUUCAGGAGAAAUAGUGAAAUCAGUGGAUCAAGGAACUCAGACUGACAUAGUGCUCCCUAUAUCUACCAGUUUCAGGUCAAGUGAUCAUGAGGAAGGUGAAUGGAUAUUUUUGGAGCCAAAAAAAAAAGAACUUAAGGUAAAUAAUAUUGUAAGGUGUUUAAAUAUUUUGUUUUUAAAUAGAAAAUACUUUGUAAAUUCUUAUUGUAAUAUUUAAACUUUCUGAUAUAUCUGAAGAUAUACAUAGUAAUUCAUGCUAAGCAGCAAAAAUUAGAACAUUUUAGAUGUUAUACAUGUACACAUGAUGUUAUGAUGUGGGCUUUAAAUUGAAUGUUUGUGUGUAUAUCUUAAUUCAAAUGGCCGAAUAAGAGCCCUUGAUCAAAGCAAGAUAAUAUUGCAAAUGCAAUUAAUAUUUCGGUUGUCACUAUUAAAUGUAUGUGCCAUUAGUAAAACAAUUGUUAAGAUAAAUGCAAAAUUAUUUUUUUAAUUUUGAUUCAAUCCACUUUUCUUUCAAGUUUUUUGCACAAGGUUUUCCAAUGACUGAUUGUUGUCAAGUAUUCUGCUUGUUACAAGAAAUCAAGUUUUCCAAGACAAUCCAACUUGAUUUUUGUCUUACUCCAGAAAAAAGCUGGCAAGGGUGCAGAGUCUAUUCACAAGGCUGCUUUAAGACGUCUUCGUCAUUAUGCUGAGCUCAAGGACGGUGAAAAGGCUCAUUUGGUGGAGUUGCUUUGUAGAGGCAGUCCUCAACAAAUUGCCAGAGGAUUAAUGAGCUCGUCUCUUGCAGAGGAAUUGAAGUGCCUUGUGCUAUAUGACGUAGAAAUGGAGGCCAGAGAAUGUGCAACCAGAAGGAGUGUUUUAAAUCAAAA